GAGCAGCCAGUUGCAGAGAAGAGAGGCUACAUUGUGAAGCAGCACAACUCCACAGUUGAGAUCAGCAUCCCCUAUAAGGCUGAAGGAGGAUACAGGAAGAGCAUCGUGUCUGGGAACCUCUACGAAUUCUCAAUCUUUCAUCUCUACUUGGAGCAAAUCUCAGUGGAUGAGGGUCAUGGUGACACCAGACUUCGCAUUCACAGGACACUGGCCACUCCCCUGCUGCCAUGCCGUAUUUUCACUGAAAACAGAACCGUUCUGAGGAGCGCACAUUCACUGUCUACCUCGGGAUGUCCCAGAAGACGUUGAGUUGGUUGCAGUUAAUUUGAAUGGACGGAUUUUACAGUUCCCUUUACAAUGCAAGC